UACGUAGGGUGCAAGCGUUGUCCGGAAUUAUUGGGCGUAAAGAGCUCGUAGGCGGUUUGUCGCGUCUGCUGUGAAAACCCGAGGCUCAACCUCGGGCCUGCAGUGGGUACGGGCAGACUAGAGUGCGGUAGGGGAGAUUGGAAUUCCUGGUGUAGCGGUGGAAUGCGCAGAUAUCAGGAGGAACACCAAUUGCGAAGGCAGCUCGCUGGGACGUAACUGACGCUGAGACGCGAAAGCGUGGGGAGCAAACAGG
rnacentral:rRNA from 1 species